rnacentral:piRNA from 1 species
CCAAGGAGUUCAUCUUCUCGGAGCUGCUGUC